UAUUAUAUUUUGAUUGUUAUAAAAAGUAAAUGAAAUCAUAUAACCAUUUAAGGCUCAAAAUAUCACAGUAGCACGAAGAGAAGAAAAGUCUAAAAAAAAUAGAGGAAAAAUUGCAACAACAUUCAUGUUCAUCUGCCAAGUGUGAUGCAGGAAGUUAGAUACGGAGGCGGAAGAAUUCUUGGUAGCUUGGCUUGUGUGUUGAGGAUGAAUGGAAUGGAUGGACUGCGUGUCGAUCGAGGAUGCGUUAUUUUUAGUCUCUUUAAAUUAUGUUUUUUUAUGUCUUUUCCGCAUUUAGUUUUGUAAACAACUUCAUUAAAAUUAAGUUAUGUUUUAUUUUAAAAUAGUGGGAUCCCAUACCGCUCAUUUAUGUAUUUCAAAUAUUUACUUUGUAGUUUUUAAUAAAGUUACGAAUAUUUCUUAUGUA